UAGUCAGUGAGUGCUCCAGUGACAGGGCAUGGAAAAGGCAGCAGUUGAAAUCAGAUUAGCAAAAUGUUGAGAAUUACUGAAGCUCACUGAUGGAUACAUGGAGAUGCAGAAUUCCUGCUCUGUGGAAAGAAAAGUAAUAGUAAGAAGAAAGACUAAGAAUCUCUGUGGUCUGGGGAUGGUAGGAAAACCUGAAGAGUGAUGUGCAGAUUAAUAGUGAGUGUCAACUUGAUUGGAUUGAAGGAUGCAAAGUAUUGUUCCUGGGUGUAUCUGUGAGGGUGUUGCCAAAGGGA